GACCUGAACUCAGUCGAGAGCACCCGCUGAA
rnacentral:rRNA from 1 species